UACGUAGGGUGCAAGCGUUGUUCGGAAUUAUUGGGCGUAAAGCGCGUGUAGGCGGUUCGCUAAGUCCGGCGUGAAAGCCCGGAGCUUAACUCCGGAAGAGCACUGGAUACUGGCGAGCUAGAGGACGGGAGAGGGAAGUGGAAUUCCUGGUGUAGGGGUGAAAUCCGUAGAUAUCAGGAGGAACAUCGGUGGCGAAGGCUGCUUCCUGGUCCGUUACUGACGCUGAGACGCGAAAGCAUGGGUAGCAAACAGG
rnacentral:rRNA from 1 species